rnacentral:rRNA from 1 species
AGAGUUUGAUCAUGGCUCAGGGUGAACGUUGGCGGUGCGUCUAAUACAUGCAAGUCGAGCGCGUCUUCGGACGAGCGGCGGACGGCUGAGUAACACGUUGGUAGCUACCCCCCAUUCAGGGAUAAGCGCGAGAAAUUGCGUCUAAUACCGGAUAGUCCCGCGAGGGUAAAGAUUUUUUCGAUGGGGGAGGCGCCUACGGCCUAUCAGCUUGUUGGUGAGGUAAAAGCUCACCAAGGCUAUGACGGGUAACUGGUCUGAGAGGAUGAUCAGUCAGAGGGAAACUGAGACACGGUUCCCACUCCUACGGGAGGCAGCAGUAAAGAAUCUUCCACAAUGGGCGAAAGCCUGAUGGAGCGACACCGCGUGAAGGAUGAAGGUUUUCGGAUCGUAAACUUCUUUUCUGAGGGAAUAAUUCUGAAGGUACCUUAGGAAUAAGCACCGGCUAAUCACGUGCCAGCAGCCGCGGUAAUACGUGAGGUGCAAACGUUACCCGGAAUCAUUGGGCGUAAAGCGUCCGCAGGCGGUUAAAUAAGUAAGAUGUAAAUCUUGAGGCUCACUUCAAGUUGCGCUUAAACUGUUUACUAGAGACUUGGAGAGCUAGUGGAAUUCUGUAUGUAGGGUAAAACCCGUAAUUUCCGAGGAACCCAAAGCGAAGGCGCUACUGGCCAAGUCUACCUCAUGACAAAACGUAGGUNCNACGGGAUUAAUCCCGGNGCUCCCGNAACAUAUCCNAUGUUGGAGUCACCUNAGGNUAACUACCAUANACCCCGGAANACGCCAAUUAACNAGGAUCGGC